rnacentral:rRNA from 1 species
UAGCGGCGGAGGGUUGAGUAACACGUGGGCAACCUGCCUAUAAGACUGGGAUAACUUCGGGAAACCGGAGCUAAUACCGGAUACGUUCUUUUCCCGCAUGAGAGAAGAUGGAAAGACGGUUUCGGCUGUCACUUAUAGAUGGGCCCGCGGCGCAUUAGCUAGUUGGUGAGGUAAUGGCUCACCAAGGCGACGAUGCGUAGCCGACCUGAGAGGGUGAUCGGCCACACUGGGACUGAGACACGGCCCAGACUCCUACGGGAGGCAGCAGUAGGGAAUCUUCCGCAAUGGACGAAAGUCUGACGGAGCAACGCCGCGUGAGCGAAGAAGGCCUUCGGGUCGUAAAGUUCUGUUGUUAGGGAAGAACAAGUACCAGAGUAACUGCUGGUACCUUGACGGUACCUAACCAGAAAGCCACGGCUAACUACGUGCCAGCAGCCGCGAUAAUACGUAGGUGGCAAGCGUUAUCCGGAAUUA